AAUGGGAUCUAGCCGCCUGAUGUACAACUGUCUUGGGAAUCCUCAUACAGACGAAAGGUGUUUUGGCCCUGCGGUUGUGAAGAGGAUGCUGUGGAAGUGGCAGCAUGAACGUGUCACACAGACAUUGGCUAAACUACUCGGCUUCUACACUUGCCCUCAGAGUUCACAUAUGGUUAAGUGCACAGGUGUCCAGCCAGGUUCAGACUGAUGCUGGUAACAAGAGGAAAACAUGCUGAUUGGAAUGAUUCAACGAUGGACAUUUUGCUUAAUUGUGGAAAAAAAUAAAUGGAAAAACUUCUAUGGUUUCUUGUGUUUUCAUUGGUGAGGCAUAUGGGUUAAGCACUGAUCAGGAAGACCUCAAAUAAGGCGGAAUUCCACUGCAGCGGUGAGAACAUUCAGACGUCUUUUUUGUUUAUGGAAAGAGCUGAUUUUCUAGUAUGCUAGGUUCAUAACUGCAACCUAAAAUCAGCUGUUCCUCGAGACGUCAGGAUGCUUUCCUCGCGCAGAUGGGGUACGUCCAGUAGGUCGUAAUUAAAUCGGGUAAAUGUUGGCUCAUGGGUGGAUAUAAAGCGGCUAAACGUCGGCGAGAUGCAUGUAAAUAAAUGCAUCGGCAAGAUGUCUUUGAAAU